UUCUUUCCAAAUCACCAACAAACAAAUAGCAUUAGAUAAUUGCACCGAAAAUAACGAUUCAAGGACAUUUCAAAAUUAGCGAUUAUUUGGUCUGUAUUUGCAGCGUCAAAAAACUAAGAGCUUUCAGGAGUGUUGUCUAUAACAUCUUUGGAAGAUUCAGUAUAGGCAGAGGAUCUUGAAUAAUAUUGAUCCAAAAUCUUCUUAGGAAUACGAGUUAACAUCUCACGAGGGAAGAUGCGAAGGAGGGACCAAGCCAAAUCCAGUGUUUCAAAAAUAGUACGAUUCUCGUAAGCACCUUGACUAAUGAAAGUCUUUUCAAAUUUACCCAAAAAUUCAAGAGCAAGGCGAUCUUCUUGAGAAAGGGCUUCCUCGCCAACUACUGAUUUCAUGGAAGCAGCAUCACGACCGAUGGCAUACAUUGCAUACAGCUGGUUAGAAACAUCACCAUGAUCAUUUCUAGUCAUUCCUUCACCAAUGGCAGACUUCAUCAGACGAGAAAGAGAGGGCAAAACAUUAAUGGGAGGAUAUAUGGCAUUGUUGUGAAGUUGACGAUCUACGAAAAUCUGACCCUCGGUAAUGUAACCAGUCAAAUCUGGAAUGGGAUGAGUAAUAUCUAAGAAAAAAUUAGCAAUUAAAAAAAAGAUUUACAAAAACAUACCGUCAUUAGGCAUAGUCAAAAUAGGAAUUUGAGUAAUUGAACCGUUACGACCCUCCACACGACCGGCACGUUCGUAAAUAGUAGACAAGUCAGUAUACAUAUAACCAGGAUAACCACGACGUCCGGGAACUUCCUCUCGAGCAGCUGAAACUUCACGAAGAGCAUCUGCGUAAGAAGUCAUGUCGGUAAGAAUAGUAAGAACGUGCUUUUCAGUUUGAUAAGCCAAAAAUUCAGAUGCUGAAAGAGCAAGACGAGGAGUAAUGAUACGUUCAAUUGUGGGGUCAUUGGCCAAGUUAAGGAAAAGGGUAACACGCUCAAAAGAUCCAUUUUCUUCGAAAUCACGUUGGAAGAAACGGGCGGUUUCUAAAUUAACACCCAUUGCUGCAAACACGAUGGAAAAGUUAUCUUCAUGACCAUCGUGAACAUCUUUAGUAGGACGUUUUACAAGACCGGCCUGACGACAAAUUUGAGCAGCGAUUUCAUUGUGGGGAAGACCAGCAGCAGAAAAGAUAGGAAUCUUUUGACCACGAGCAAUACUAUUUAAACCAUCAAUCGAAGAUAUACCAGUUUGAAUCAUCUCCUCGGGAUAAAUACGGGCAUAAGGAUUGAUAGGAGAACCAUUGAUAUCAAGAUAAUCUUCAGCAAGCAAGUUGGGUCCUUUAUCAAUUGGUAAACCAGAACCAUUGAAAACACGACCAAGCAUAUCUUCUGAAACAGGGAUACGCAUGGAAUGACCAGUAAAAUCAAUGGUAGUUUUUCUAACAUCGACUCCAGAAGUGCCUUCGAAAACUUGUACAAUGGCUUUAUGACCUGCAACUUCUAAGACUUGACCAGAACGAACGGAACCAUCCUAUUAAUUAGCAUUAAUAAAGUAACGAAAUAAGAAACAGAAGACAUUAAGAAACACAUCUUCCAAGAUAUAUAAUUUCUCAAGGGCACUUACCGGUAGGUUUAGAUUAACAAUCUCAUUGUACUGAGGUCUACGAAUGUUGCUAUAGCAGAGUUAGCAAUAAUUCAUCAAAGUACGGCUAAAAGGCUCAGAAAACGUACUCUAAAAUUACUAGAGGACCAGUAAUAGAAUUUACAGUAUUGUAAGAGAGUCGAGGUUUUAUGGAAUAAUCCCUAAAUUGUUAAUACAGGCAUUCGUAAAAUUUUACACUUACUUUACAGCAGCAGCUGCAUUGAUAUCAAAGAGCGACGCCAUGUUAACGAUUUUCUGGAGAACUAGAGGUUCAGGCAG
rnacentral:lncRNA from 1 species